CUCGUAGGCGGUCUGUCGCGUCGGCUGUGAAAACUCGGGGCUCAACCCCGAGCCUGCAGUCGAUACGGGCAGACUAGAGUGCGGUAGGGGAGACUGGAAUUCCUGGUGUAGCGGUGAAAUGCGCAGAUAUCAGGAGGAACACCGGUGGCGAAGGCGGGUCUCUGGGCCGUAACUGACGCUGAGGAGCGAAAGCGUGGGAGCAAACA
rnacentral:rRNA from 1 species